rnacentral:rRNA from 1 species
AGAGAGUGCAAGCGUUAAUCGGAAUUACUGGGCGUAAAGCGCGCGUAGGUGGAUGGUUUAAGUCGGAUGUGAAAGCCCUGGGGCUUAACCUAGGAAUUGCAUCCGAUACUGAGCAUCUAGAGUAUGGUAGAGGGUAGUGGAAUUUCCGGUGUAGCGGUGAAAUGCGUAGAUAUCGGAAAGAACACCAGUGGCGAAGGCGGCUACCUGGACCAAUACUGACACUGAGGUGCGAAAGCGUGGGGAGCAAACAGGAUUAGAGACCCUGGUAGUCCACGCCGUCAACGAUGAGAACUGGCUGUUGGGAGGGACUUCCUCUUAGUAGCGAAGCUAACGCGUUAAGUUCUCCGCCUGGGGAGUACGGCCGCAAGGUUAA